rnacentral:lncRNA from 1 species
CAUCACCCCUGUUCCUCAUUAAUGAACCCCCCUGAAAGGGGGGAUGUGGGAACAAUUUGCCUCAGACAGAAGAGAGAUCAAGUUUCUUGGUGAGUCCAUGCUGAGCAUGUGAUUAAAGCAGGAGGCAUUGCUAUAGGAAGGAAUAUCACCUCCACCUCCCUGUGACCACAGAAAUGGCAGCAACCAUGCAGUCUGGGGAGCCUUGCUGUGCGGGAGGAGCAGGGAAGAGGUCGUGUUGGGAGAAGGCUGAAGAAAGAUCAAGGAAUGCCUCAUUUCUGGCUCUUCUGGCUUAGACAUGAGAUGACCCCAGGCAGAUCUCAACUUGGAGCUCAUGGUGUGAUGUCACUGGCUGAAGAACCACUUCCAGCCUCUACAUUUGCCAUAGCAGUGUAAAAGGGACACAAUGUGAAAGAGAACCAGACCCAGAGCCUUUUGUUUGCCCGUUAUACAUAGAUAAAAAUGGCAGUGUUAGCUUUCCCACACCUGCCUGAAUUGUGCUCCUUCACCUCUAGCCUUGUGGAAGCAUUUCACACUCCAGGCCAUUUCAGUCUUUGACUCCUUUUUAUGCCUUGACAAGUUUUCAGCACCUUUCACAUUGUACAUUUCACAACGGGUAAUCAGCAUAUUGAAGGGCAGCACCCAUGAGCUGACAUUCGCUUUGUUAAUUUAUAACUCAUAAAUGGAGUCCCUUGUGACAACUGCCUUUCUACCUAAUCUUAGAGAAAGAGGGGUCCUGAUAUAAAGUCGGGUGACAGUUAGGGAGGCCCAAUCUGGUAAAAAUAUAAAAAGCUGCCUUGAAAACUUAAUUUUUCUUUCAUCCCAUGUUUUUGCAUGUUGAAUGAAUGUUUUGUCAUUUGCCUAAGAAAAUGAAAUAGAAUUGUAAGUGCUCUAUAUCACCCAAACACCUGCUCAAAUAUGCUGAUAAACCCUUCUUGUGGGAAUGAAGCCCAGCCUUACUCAAAUGUGAAAGUCACAGAAAGCACACUUUCGCCUGUCUUCCUUCAUUUCUUUUAUCUUUUGUUGCAUUAGACAGAGUUCUGAUCUGGUUGUUUAUUGCGGAAAUUGUUAAUAGGUUUAGGAUUGAAGUGUUUGAGGAAGGAUACUUUCAGGAAACAUUAUUGCUGGAUAAGGCAGCAUGAAACCGAAGCCUGGGUAAGAAUCUGGAGGGGGGUUCAGAAGAAGACAGCUGGCAUGGAAAUAUCAGGAUUAAGAGUAGGAACAAGGAUAGGAAGCUUUGAGUGGGAUCACCACUAGGCAGAAAAUGGGGAGCACUAACGGGGAUCUUUACAGACAAGAUCAGACAAAAGCAGAAACAUUUUUGGUUGAAAAUUUCCUUGGAAAAUGUUGACUACUAACAAAAAUCAUCUAAGCAGGAAGAAUUCAUUUACUGGUU